rnacentral:lncRNA from 1 species
GGUGGAAUUAUAUAUUUGCAAGUGAAUAAUACAUUAUCAAAGUUUCUUCGCUUAUUUUGACAAGAUUGAAACAUACUGGCUACUAAAGCGAAUUAUUAUUUCUCUAUUUUACUUUAAUUAAUGAUUCAACAAAAAACAAUUAUCUUUUAGAACUUAUAUUUAUCUCGUAGCUAGUGCCCCUUUUAAGUACCUAAUAUUGAUAGGAUGUAGUUUAAACAAAUUCAUUUAUAAUGCAUAAGAUACAAGUUAUUACAAUUUAUAUUAAUCCUUUUUCUACUUUUCACUUAUGCGAGUGCUGCCUUGUAGCGGCAUUAGCUUGCUCUUUUUAGAAAUCUUCUAGUGUGUUUUAUGUGCAAGAUAUUUCACUCUCUCUA